AUGGGUAUUGGUGUCGUUGUUCGAAAUCACAGUGGGGACUGUCUUGUUGCUUGCAACGAAGUGUUUCCUGGUAUUACUGAACCAGAGCUUGCUGAGGCUCUUGCCAUUCGGCACGCUUUGAACAUCUGCCAAGCUGAAGGCUUCAUGCAUAUCAGUCUAGUGUCAGAUUGCCUCUCUAUGGUGAACAAGAUCAGGUCUCCUGUCCAAGAUCGUUCGAGUGUGGGCGCCGUUGUCUCCGACAUCAAGUCUCUGGCUGUUAGUUUUACCCUACUUUCUCACAUGUCAAGCGUGGACUGA
rnacentral:rRNA from 1 species